rnacentral:snoRNA from 1 species
GGCCUGUGAUGUUUGAGAUUGUCCGUACCAUCUGAGAUUUUUAUUUCUCCUUGAUGAUUUGUUUCCUCUAGGUUCUGAGGCUU